GACGAACGCUGGCGGCGUGCUUAACACAUGCAAGUCGAACGGAAAGGCCCUGCUUUUGUGGGGUGCUCGAGUGGCGAACGGGUGAGUAACACGUGUGUAACCUGCCCUUGACUUUGGGAUAACUUCAGGAAACCGGGGCUAAUACCGGAUAGGAGCUCCUGCUGCAUGGUGGUGGUUGGAAAGUUUCGGGGGUUGGGGAUGGACUCGCGGCUUAUCAUCUUGUUGGUUGGGUAGUGGCUUACCAAGGCUUUGACGGGUAGCCGGACUGGGAGGGUGACAGGCAAAAUAGGGAGAGAGAAACGGCCAAGACGAAAAAGGGAGGAAGGAGUGGGGAAUAAAGAAAAAAGGGCGGAAGGAGGAGGGAGAAACGACGGGUGGGGGAGGAAGGCCUUGGGGAAGAAAAAAGAUUUGGAGUGGGACGAAGCGUGAGUGAGGGAAAUGGGAAAAGAAGAACGGGCAAACUAGGU
rnacentral:rRNA from 1 species